UAAGGAAUAUUGGUCAAUGGACGCAAGUCUGAACCAGCCAUGCCGCGUGAAGGAUGAAGGCCCUCUGGGUUGUAAACUUCUUUUAUCUGGGACGAAAAACGGGCUUUCUAGCUCACUUGACGGUACCAGAGGAAUAAGCACCGGCUAACUCC
rnacentral:rRNA from 1 species